GGGUUUGGUUACCAGUAUCAGCCCCAUCACACCCAGAGCACCCGCCUGGCCAAGGGACCGGGCUCUUGUUUCUGGUGCAGGAGGCACAGCCAUACAGGUUUCCCCAGAAUGGGCUCUGGAAUCGAGGCCCCGGCUACAAGUACCAAGCCAAAGAUCACACGAGUCUCCAGGCGCAGGGGAGAUCUUGAGAUCCUGUUUGGGGUCGUUGUGAAAAAGGACCCUGCUACUGCAAGGCAGGCGGCAGAACCACUGAGCCAAACCCCGGCCCCUGACAGGAUUUUCUCUUCAGAUCUACCAUGCAGACCUCCUCAUCUGUCAAGGACUACUCCCUCCCCAGCCCUGAGGCUGACCGUGGAUCUCU
rnacentral:lncRNA from 1 species